rnacentral:rRNA from 1 species
AGUACGUGCAGGAUGACGGCCCUANGGGUUGUAAACUCCUUUUUGCGGGAUAAAGUUGCCCACGUGUGGGUUUGCAGGUACCGCAUGAAUAAGGACCGGCUAAUUCCUGCCAGCAGCCGCGGUAAUACGGAAGGUCCNGGCGUUAUCCGGAUUUAUUGGGUUUAAGGGAGCGCAGGCCGCCGUGCAAGGU